UGAGGCUUUGGCUGACGACAGCUUUCAGCUGCACCUGAACUAGGCUGGAUUUGUCUCCUGCUCUCCAUAGGCAGAGAAGUGCGUCCAGGCAGUUUGGAGAACUGCUGGCUCAGGCUUCACCUCCACUAAUCCAAGUUCAGUCACUUUCCUCUGAAGAACCUGCAUCAAGCCGUGGUUUUAAGCUGCAGAUGGAGUUCUUCUCGCAGGACUGAAGUGCUGAAGCUCUCUGAGCUCCGAAGGCACCCUGAACUCAUGAGGCUUUUUCUUGGUUGGCAACGUGCUUAAAAAAGAAAGAAAUGCAAAUGGGCAUUUCCACGUGACUGUAUUCUGCUCAGUGCAGUGUCUGCCUGUGUUGCAGACUGAGCUCCGUGGCAUUGCAAAGAAUGCACCAAAGGUUCCCGUAUUUCUAGCGGUUGUCAGGGCGGUGGCUCAUGACAUCGUAAGGCCGUGGCGAUGUGACGGUAAGAAUGUCCCAUGUCAAGUACAAGAUGGCUGUGUGGGACGAGGGGAAGCCAUGGCCUGACAGCUGCCCUUCUGGUCAGCAGUGGAAUUCUGCGGGGUCCAUUAGAAGGCCAUUUCUCUGUAAUGCUUUCUCUGUUGGUUCCAGUCAAGAUGUGGCCGUUGUAUGAAGUAAGUUUGUGGUUGCUGUGAAGCUGGGAGGAAUGUUGACUGCCUUGGGGGUUGAGAGGCCUUGCAGCAAGAUGUGGAGAAAUGUGAGGGUGGUCCCCAUCUGCACGAAGAAGAGCAAGCGCUGCGUUCUGCACCUGGGAUGCGGCAGCCCUGGCUAUAAGCCCUCAGCAAACAGUCGUCCUGUUCCACUUUUGGCCAGUCUCAGAUGCUUGUCUUCCAGAAUGUCUGCGUGUGGAUGAAUCACAACAGGAUCCUGGGAACUUUUAAGAAAGGAAAGAUUGCUUCACGUGUAAUGAAAAGCUAGUGUCCAGAAGAUCACUGCGGCCAGAUGCCAAUUUUGAUGCCCUCGUCAGUAAGACUUGUCCAAGCCCUGAUGUAUGUGAAACUCAUCAGGAGGGAAUGCUGGCAAGAAUCAGCUAACACAGUAGCAGCAAGCUUUCAGUGACAGCGUUAAGGAAGGGUGACGAUUCAGGCUGGGAGCAGGUAUGUCAUCACCUGACUUGACCACAUGUAACUUGAUGCUAGAAAUACACCACGUCCUCCCUCCCUGCAUGGCAAGAGAUGGCUCUCUUCUCCUGCAAAGGCAGCCGAAGUAACUUCUGUGUGCUGACUAGAGAGAGAAAACUUGGUGUCACUCCUUGCAAGUCCUGUGGCAGCCAGAUAUUGUGUGAUGAGAGUUGCUGUCUAUUUACUGUGUUUGGUUUCUUUGCUUUGCCAUGCUGUACACGAGUAAAGGAAAUGAAU
rnacentral:lncRNA from 1 species